rnacentral:siRNA from 1 species
AUAAGGUUCGUAUUGAAGCAUA